GGCCGCGCGUGCCCCGCUCCUGGGCCGCGCUGGGCUGCGCCGCCCUCCGGGGCCGGGGCGCUGGCAGGCCGAGUGUCCCCAGGGGCCCUGGUGGCCGGGGGCGGGAUAGGGGCAGCUCCUCUUGAACGCAGGAUGCGCGUCCGUCUGUCCGUCCUUCCGGGCCUGAGACGAGGUCGCCACGGACCCCCAGGACUAGUUGUAACUUUCGCCUUCCUCUCCCGCACUGACGUCACGGCCCCAGGAACAGUCCGACCUGCAGAGGAGGGCCAGGUCCCAGGGGAGGACAGGACAUCGGCUCAGACGGACUCGGACCUUACCCUCGGACCUUACCCUCGUGGAGUUGCACCUCAGGCAAAAUCGGAGCUGUCUCAGGUCCAGUCGGCUUUGUUCCGGCUCCGGUGCACCAAGGCGCAGUGGCCGUGGGCCGCGGGACGGCGCGGCCAGGCCGGGCCCCGGACCGCGGAGGAUUGCGCCCCCGCCUCUGCCGUCGGCUUCCUCAGCGAGCGGCGUGAGACGGCAGCGACCACCUGCACACACGCACCGCUCCUCGUUCAGGCGUGUGCUGACUGGGUACCAGUCAUUCUGCUGGGCCUGAGGAUGAGGAGGGACUUUGGGGGGGGCCGCAGUCUGCGGGGGGAGGCGGGGGAACACGUGAGCUGGGAGGCAUGA
rnacentral:lncRNA from 1 species